rnacentral:rRNA from 1 species
CCCUUAGAUGUUCUGGGCCGCACGCGCGCUACACUGACUGCUCCAACAAGUUACCUGGGCUGACAAGCAUCCGGGAAAUCUUGCAAAGGCAGUCGUGAUGGGGAUAGAUUCUUGUAAUUUUUGAUCUUCAACGAGGAAUUCCUAGUAAACGCAAGUCAUCAGCUUGCAUUGAUUACGUCCCUGCCCUUUGUACACACCGCCCGUCGCAUCUACCGAUUGAAUGGAGAGGCAAAAUCUUCGGACCGUGACGCUUGGGGGUCAAAUCUCGGGCUGUCGUGGGAAGUGGAUUAAACCUUUCUAUUUAGAGGAAGGUAAAGUCGUAACA